GAGGAAAGAGGGAGGAGGGAGGAACACAGGAAAGUCGAGCGAACAGACGAUGCUCUUGCUCCUCUGACGUUUGCGGCGGACGGGUGAGUCACACGUGGAUACUUCACCUAUAAGACUGGGAUCAUUUCGGGAAACCGGCUCAUAUACCGGAUAAUAUCUUGAACCGCAUUGUUCAUUAGUCAAAUCCGGUUUUGCUGUCUCUUAUCGAUGGUUCUGAGCCGCAUUAGCUAGUUGUUACGGUAACGGCUUAUCAAGGUUACGAUGCGUAGCCGACCUGAGAGGGUGAUCGGCCACACUGGAACUGAGACACGGUCCAGACUCCUACGGGAGGCAGCAGUAGGGAAUCUUCGGCAAUGGGCGAAAGCCUGACGGAGCAACGCCGCGUGAGUGAUGAAGGUCUUCGGAUCGUAAAACUCUGUUAUUAGGGAAGAACAAAUGUGUAAGUAACUAUGCACGUCUUGACGGUACCUAAUCAAAAAGCACCGGCUAACUACGUC
rnacentral:rRNA from 1 species